rnacentral:rRNA from 1 species
GACAUAGGGUGCAAGCGUUGUUCGGAAUUACUGGGCGUAAAGCGCGUGUAGGCUGCUUCGCAAGUCGGAUGUGAAAGCCCUGGGCUCAACCCAGGAAGUGCAUUCGAAACUGCAGAGCUGGAGUCCUGGAGAGGAAGGCGGAAUUCUCGGUGUAGAGGUGAAAUUCGUAGAUAUCGAGAGGAACACCGGUGGCGAAGGCGGCCUUCUGGACAGUGACUGACGCUGAGACGCGAAAGCGUGGGGAGCGAACAGG